GGGCGGGUGGUGAAAUGGCAGACACGCCAGCCUUAGGAGCUGGUGCCGCAAGGCAUGGAGGUUCAAGUCCUCUCCCGCCCA
rfam:Parcubacteria group bacterium RIFOXYD2_FTLL_52_8 rifoxyd2_full_scaffold_1632, whole genome shotgun sequence.